rnacentral:rRNA from 1 species
UACGUAGGGGGCAAGCGUUGUCCGGAAUCAUUGGGCGUAAAGAGCGUGUAGGCGGUUCGGUCAGUCGGCUGUGAAAGUCCAGGGCUCAACCCUGGGAUGCCGGUCGAUACUGCCGGACUAGAGUUCGGAAGAGGCGAGUGGAAUUCCCGGUGUAGCGGUGAAAUGCGCAGAUAUCGGGAGGAACACCUAUGGCGAAGGCAGCUCGCUGGGACGUUACUGACGCUGAGACGCGAAAGCGUGGGGAGCAAACAGG